GGAUCUGGGCUCAAGGUGAGGGGUGCUAUCUGUGAUUGAGGGACAUGGUCAAUUGAAUUGUCUCACACAGAAAUCGCACCCGUCACCUUGGCCUGCUGA
rfam:Heterocephalus glaber contig79925, whole genome shotgun sequence.